rnacentral:rRNA from 1 species
AACGAACGCUGGCGGCAUGCCUAACACAUGCCAGUCGAACGAGACCUUCGGGUCUAGUGGCGCACGGGUGCGUAACGCGUGGGAACCUGCCCUUAGGUUCGGAAUAACUCCCCGAAAGGGGUGCUAAUACCGGAUAAUGUCUUCGGACCAAAGAUUUAUCGCCUUUGGAUGGGCCCGCGUUGGAUUAGCUAGUUGGUAGGGUAAAAGCCUACCAAGGCGACGAUCCAUAGCUGGUCUGAGAGGAUGAUCAGCCACACUGGGACUGAGACACGGCCCAGAAUCCUACGGGAGGCAGCAGUGGGGAAUAUUGGACAAUGGGCGAAAGCCUGAUCCAGCCAUGCCGCGUGAGUGAUGAAGGCCUUAGGGUUGUAAAGCUCUUUUACCCGGGAUGAUAAUGACAGUACCGGGAGAAUAAGCUCCGGCUAACUCCGUG